GUGUUUAAUUGGCACCGGCACCGGGGUGAUCACAAACGCUCUGGCUCCAGCUGGAGGCUCGCCCUUGCACUCUGGCCGGUUGAAGCUUGCUACGAACCCUAAUCGGGCUCGCUUGAGCGUGUAGUUUUUGGUAGUAGGGUGGUCUUCGAACCAUCUUU
rnacentral:snRNA from 1 species